rnacentral:rRNA from 1 species
CCUACGGGAGGCAGCAGUGGGGAAUAUUGGGCAAUGGGCGCAAGCCUGACCCAGCAACGCCGCGUGAAGGAAGAAGGCUUUCGGGUUGUAAACUUCUUUUAUUGAGGACGAAACAAAUGACGGUACCUAAUGAAUAAGCCACGGCUAACUACGUGCACGCAGCCGCGGUAAUACGUAGGUGGCAAGCGUUAUCCGGAUUUACUGGGUGGAAAGGGCGUGUAGGCGGGACUGCAAGUCAGAUGUGAAAACCAUGGGCUCAACCUAUGGCCUGCAUUUGAAACUGUAGUUCUUGAGUACUGGAGAGGCAGACGGAAUUCCGUGUGUAGCGGUGAAAUGCGUAGAUAUACGGAGGAACACCAGUGGCGAAGGCGGCCUGCUGGACAGUAACUGACGCUGAGGCGCGAAAGCGUGGGGAGCAAACAGGAUUAGAUACCCUAGUAGUC